AUUACCGCGGCUGCUGGCACGAAGUUAGCCGUCCCUUCCUCUUCUGGUACUAUCAAUCAUGUUUGCUAUUAACAACCAUGCCUUACUCCCAGAUGACAGGAGUUUACAAUCCGAAGACCGUCAUCCUCCACGCGGCGUUGCACCAUCAGGGUUGCCCCCAUUGUGAAUUAUUCUCGACUGCUGCCACCCGUAGGUGUCCGGACCGUGUCUCAGUUCCAGUGUGCCUGAUCGUCCUCUCAGACCAGGUACCCGUCGUAGCCUUGGUGAGCCAUUACCUCACCAACAAGCUGAUAGGGUGCGAACCAAUCCUAUAGCGACAGCCUUGCGGCCACCUUUACUCUUGCGAGACUAUGGGGUAUUAAUCCAAGUUUCCCUGGGCUAUUCCCCACUAUAGGGCAUGUAAUUCACAUGUUACUCACCCGUGCGCCACUAGACUGGAAUCGUAUUACUACUCAACCAAUCCCGUGCGACUUGCAUGUCUUAAACACGCCGCCAGCGUUCGUUCUGAGCCAG
rnacentral:rRNA from 1 species